CGCGUAGGCGGCACGGUACGGUUCGGGUGAAAUCCCUCGGCUCAACCGAGGAACUGCCUGAGCAACGGCCGAGCUAGACAGCAUCAGGGGAAGGUGGAACUCCCGGUGGAGCGGUGAAAUGCGUAGAUAUCGGGAGGAACGCCGGUGGCGAAAGCGACCUUCUGGGGUGCUUGUGACGCUGAGGCGCGAAAGCUAGGGGAGCGAACAGGAUUAGAUACCCUGGUAGUCC
rnacentral:rRNA from 1 species